GACGAACGCUGGCGGCGUGCUUAACACAUGCAAGUCGAACGGAAAGGCCCUGCUUUUGUGGGGUGCUCGAGUGGCGAACGGGUGAGUAACACGUGAGUAACCUGCCCUUGACUUUGGGAUAACUUCAGGAAACUGGGGCUAAUACCGGAUAGGAGCUCCUGCUGCAUGGUGGGGGUUGGAAAGUUUCGGCGGUUGGGGAUGGACUCGCGGCUUAUCAGCUUGUUGGUGGGGUAGUGGAUUACCAAGGCUUUGACGGGUAGCCGGCCUGAGAGGGUGACCGGCCACAUGGGGACUGGGAUACGGCCCAGACUCCUACGGGAGGCAGCAGUGGGGAAUAUUGCACAAUGGGCGGAAGCCGGAUGCAGCAACGCCGCGUGCGGGAUGACGGCCUUCGGGUUGUAAACCGCUUUCGCCUGUGACGAAGCGUGAGUGACGGUAAUGGGUAAAGAAGCACCGGCUAACUACGU
rnacentral:rRNA from 1 species